rnacentral:sRNA from 1 species
CUCGCAUGCUAAGCGAGCGCUCUACCAUCUGAGCUACAUCCCCAUUUGC